UGAGGAAUAUUGGUCAAUGGGCGGAAGCCUGAACCAGCCAUCCCGCGUGAAGGAAGAAGGCCUUAUGGGUUGUAAACUUCUUUUCUGUUUGAAGAAUAAGCUUGUCGUGACAAGUGAUGCCGGUAGGACAGGAAUAAGCAUCGGCUAACUCCGUGCCAGCAGCCGCGGUAAUACGGAGGAUGCAAGCGUUAUCCGGAUUUAUUGGGUUUAAAGGGUGCGCAGGUGGUUUAAUAAGUCAGUGGUGAAAGUCUGCCGCUUAACGGUAGGAUUGCCAUUGAUACUGGUGGACUGGAAUAUGGAUGAGGUAGGCGGAAUGUGUAGUGUAGCGGUGAAAUGCUUAGAUAUUACACAGAACACCGAUUGCGAAGGCAGCUUACUAAUCCAUGAUUGACGCUGAGGCACGAA
rnacentral:rRNA from 1 species